AGUGAACGCUGGCGGUAGGCCUAACACAUGCAAGUCGAACGGCAGCACAGUAAGAGCUUGCUCUUACGGGUGGCGAGUGGCGGACGGGUGAGGAAUACAUCGGAAUCUACUUUUUCGUGGGGGAUAACGUAGGGAAACUUACGCUAAUACCGCAUACGACCUACGGGCGAAAGCAGGGGAUCUUCGGACCUUGCGCGAUUGAAUGAGCCGAUGUCGGAUUAGCUAGUUGGCGGGGUAAAGGCCCACCAAGGCGACGAUCCGUAGCUGGUCUGAGAGGAUGAUCAGCCACACUGGAACUGAGACACGGUCCAGACUCCUACGGGAGGGAGCAGUGGGGAAUAUUGGACAAUGGGCGCAAGCCUGAUCCAGCCAUACCGCGUGGGUGAAGAAGGCCUUCGGGUUGUAAAGCCCUUUUGUUGGGAAAGAAAAGCAGCAGGUUAAUACCCCGCUGUUCUGACGGUACCCAAAGAAUAAGCACCGGCUAACUUCGUG
rnacentral:rRNA from 1 species